UGUCUGUGGACCCAAAGGCCCAAAUUAAUUGUGAGAGGGCGAAACGGGUGAGAGUUCGGGUGUGGAGUUGGUUCAAUGGAAUUGGAGGAUGGGAGGAAAGAAGCAGCAUAGCAUCAGCAGCAUCUCUACAACCCAACUACGACACUAAAAAGCUGUCAAUUCCGCUCAAAUUCCCAAUUUUCAAGUAGUAGUAUGAAUGUGAUGCUUAGAAGGAUUUGUAGGCGCAACUGCUGCACGUAUUCUCCUCAGCCGUGGCUCUUUGUUGGAUUGGGAAAUCCUGGGGAUAAAUACAGGGGAACGAGACACAAUAUUGGUUUUGAAAUGCUUGAUGCAUUCGCAAAUUCGCAAGGGAUUCAUAUGGAGACUGUACAUUGUAAAGCUAUGUUUGGAAAAGGUUUCGUCAAUGGCAUUCCGGUUUUCCUUGCAAAGCCGCUAACUUACAUGAAUUUGAGUGGUGAAUCUAUUGGCCCACUUGCAGCAUAUUACAAGCUCCCUCUCAAUCGUGUGGUUGUGUUUCAUGAUGACAUGGAUUUACCAUGUGGAGUUCUUCGUCUUCACCCCAAGGGAGGUCAUAACAGACAUAACGGGUUGAAGAAUGUGAUUUAUCAUUUUCGUAGAAAUGGAGAGUUUCCUCGGUUAAGGAUAGGUAUUGGAAGACCUCCUGGUCAGAUGGAUCCCAAAGCAUUCAUGCUUCAAAAGUUUAAUUCGACUGCAAGAGAACGAAUUGAUGCAGCAUUACUGGAAGGAGCACAUGCAUUGGAGCAAGUCUUAUCCAAAGGCUUCUCCGAAAGCUCUCACUGCUUCAAUACAAUUCAGAAGUACAAGCACAUAAGAUUGCAGACAUUGCCAACAUGACGUCAUGCUUCAAGACUUAAGGCUGCGUACGAUACACCCUUGUGGUGGGGCCCUUCCCUCAACCUUGCGCAUAGCGGGAGCUUUAGUGCACCAGGCUGCCCUUUCCACUUGGUGGGAAUAUACUGGAUUAAUGUGCAGCGCGACGUUCCAUUGCCAUUGAUGCAUCCCUUUACUCCAUAAGCCAGCCUUUCCUCUUUUCCACUCACUCCUAAAUUCUUAUCUGCUGUUAAGAAGGGCGGAUGUUCAGGUUGAGAAAGGAUCAACCACUCACUACUGAUAUUUUCAGAAUGCAGCUUUGUGUACUGCAGAAAAUGCAGGACUGUUGAGAAUUUCAGUUUCCUGUACAAAAAUUGCAUACCACUCCCCACUCUACGACAUAAAGUUAGUGAAAAGAAGAAUUUCAGGAACCAAACUGGGGAAUGGAGAUGGAAGUAUAAAUUUUGCGCAAGAAUUUUAUCUUUUCAUAACUGUACAUUGGCAUUGAUGAUAUUUCAGCUGUGAAAAUUAUAAGGUUUAACUUUAUAUCAUUGCUACAGAAUGUCAACGGAUCACUCAAAAUUACAGUAUUAUUGAUAUGUACAUCUAUUGUACAGAAAAUACGCGUCAAAAGUCUAAACAUCCCAGUAUGUUUAUUGUUUUUCUUCUUGCAUUUAUUGAACUCAUUGCAGGACACCAAGGUUGAAAAAGAAAAGUACACUAGAGAUUUGCAUGGACUCUCAGCAGGCAGCAGAUAAUGGUCUUGGUACACACCCUAUUACAAUUUUGUUUUUUCAUUUCCCUGGAAGUAGAUUCACCAAAUAUGCCAAGGAAUUGUGUGUUAGGCUUGAUUGCAGUUGCAGAAACUGAAUAUUAAGAAACCCGGGGGCAGGGGGUUGGAGGGGAAGGAGAGAAGAUUUCAGUUGUUCAUGGGGUACCUUAUUUGGUUGAGCAAACAGAGCGAAGUAGCAUAGCUCUGCCAUGCGCAAGACAAAAGUUCUCAGAAACGAGAAGUAAUUGUUUGUUCAACAACGCUACUACUUCAGAUGAGUAGCCAAACAAAAAAGAAUCGCGUCAUUCCAAUGGUAGCAGUUCAUUCUAUGUAUUCUUGCCCCUCCAAAUUUUUAAGAGAAUAGUACUACUUUUUUAUUUGUGAUUUUCUUUUCUAUUAAUGAGUUCUCUUCAUUAUAAUUUUCUGCACAAAAUAUCACAAUGAUUCAAGUACAUAAAAUGUAGUUACGAUUGAGCACA